rnacentral:lncRNA from 1 species
CUGGCCUUAGGGAUCAGAAUGGGAGAGCCUACAAAGAAAAUUUUAGCCAUAAGAAUUUUUAGCUAUCAGAUUCUUAGCCUAAAGAUUUCAAAACCUACAGAAUUUGAGAGCUGAAAAAUACAAGAGAUUUCAGAGAUACAAAAUUUGAGAGCUAAAAAAACAACAAAUGAGAUUUUGGGAGAGUUUUUGAGCCUAUACUCUGCAUUCCUAGCAUUUAUUUGGUUAAAAUCCACCACAUUGUUACUGAUUUUGGUUUUGUGAUCCUGAGCGUUUAGUUAAAAUUCCUAAAAGAUUCCAUAAUUGAAUCACGUGGUUUAAAAUGGUUUGAGUUCUGGUCCCUUAGAGACUGGCUUUGGAUUUUAUGGUUCUACUGUUCCAUUACAGAUUUAAGGGCUAGUUCUGAAUAUUUGGGUCUUGGUUGUUGAAAUAUGGGUGUUGGUUACUGUUACAUUGUUGAUUCCUGGUGCUAUUGCUUCCUUCUAGUUGCAGACCAAACCUCUGAUCUCUUUUGUUUUCAUUCAGGUACACAUCUCCUGAAAUUCUCUAUGUGUUUAUGAAGCUAAAUUGACGAAGAGAAUAAGAAGAAAGGAUUUGAAGACAUAGUUCUUUUUAAUCAUAUCUAUUUUGUUUCUUUUUGUGUUUCGAAUUAAUGGAGUAUUAUCCUGUUAAGUAGAUCCUUAUGUUAAGUAGAUAAACUUCCACCUAUUAUUAUUUUAAAAGCACUGUAUAACUGAACAUGACAUUUUUAGUUUCAUACAUGCAUAUUCAGUAGAUCUGUUGAAGGUUUAGGCUUAGCCACAAGAUCCUUCUUUAGUAUUAAAUAUUUGUAUUUAUGUAUUAGCCACAGGAUUCUUCUUUAGUAUCUAAUAUUCGUAUUUAGUCAAUCAUGUGCUCAUGGCUUUGGUUAAAUAUUCAGUAGAUUCUUUUGGACAUUGUAACCAUGAUUAAAGAAGGGAUCCAUAGUGUUGAUAACUACUCUAUAUUUUCUUAGAUAACUAUCAAAUCUCAGUUAGUACUCUCAUGCGCCCUUUAGCCUAGUCAUUAUAUGUAGAAAUUCAUCUUUACCCCUGUGUUUUCAUUCAGUUUUGGGAUUCGGAUCUUUUUGAAUCUGAUGAUUCAAGUCUAUGGGAAUUUCAAAAAUGAAUUAUCUGUUGGGUCAAGUAAGCAUGAAGGUUGAGUAAUGUACAGAAAGACAGCGUUUAAUCAUGAGCAUGUUAAGUAAUUGUAAUGCUAAUUUGUCCAUGUAGAAAUCCUAGAGGUUCAACUUUGCUAUUAUAUGCAUAAAAAUAGAUGUGUAUUCGAAAAAAUGCCCAUCGAUUUGGGUUUGGAACUUUGGAUGAAUUGUGAAGGUGAAACUUGCGUUAUUGGGCUUUAUUUUGAAAUCCAG